UGGAAGACGACACUUUGGCAGCAACGGUAGCGACCCUCGCACAUUGGCUUACAUUCCCCUGUUAUACGCAGAUUCUUCGGCGGCCCUUGUGUCUCCGGCGGUAGUCUGUGUGGCGCUACCUACCCUUUUCGUCAUUGAUGCUGCAUCGUUCCCAUGUUACCUAAGCGUGCGGAUUCCUCAGCCUGGCUGCUAUCUACAGCUGACAGCGUCGACGAUUUCUGCCACCGGGUGGCACUGUCUUCCCGAUUCCUCGCUAUAACAGCCGCCGACGUGGAAGACAACGACACUUUGGCAGCAGCGGUAGCGACCCUCGCACAUUGGCUUACAUUCCCCUGUUCAACGCAGAUUGCUGCAAGUACCUGUUUCCACAAUAUUCAAUGUUGUGAUAUCCUUCGGAUUACCGGCUCGUCGGUCUGCCCCACCGGACGGUCGACGCUUGCUCAGGAAGCUUCACGGGUCUGUUGCCAACGAAGGCACUAAACGCAAACGUGUCAGCCGGCGUGGACUGCUUCCUCUCCUGCUGGCCAGCACUAACCUGGCGGUACUGCGCAUGCUCCGGCACCUCGGCGACAUCUACGGGCUCGCAACAGGAUAAAGGACGAACGCAUCUGCGGUUCCACUUCAGUGGGUCCGGUGGCAGCAUCGCAAACAUGCGCUGCAAAUUUGCCCACUUCUACUUACAGGUAUGCAAUUGGUAUGGUUGUAAAUGUUAUAGAAAUGAUGAUCGCUUCUUGUUGCUGCUGCCGGACCCUCCCACGUU